rnacentral:rRNA from 1 species
UACGGAGGGUGCGAGCGUUGUCCGGAAUCACUGGGCGUAAAGGGCGCGUAGGUGGCGCGGGCAGUCAACGGUGAAAGUUCGGGGCUCAACCCUGAAUCGGCCGUCGAUACUCCCGUGCUUGAGCACUGUAGAGGCAGAUGGAAUUCCGGGUGUAGCGGUGGAAUGCGUAGAGAUCCGGAAGAACACCGGUGGCGAAGGCGGUCUGCUGGGCAGUAGCUGACACUGAGGCGCGACAGCGUGGGGAGCAACAGGAU